CUCCUGAUGCCCGAGGAUUAUUGGAGUCACCUGUCCUUAUCUCUGUCUUCUUUUUUUGAGAUGGAGUCUCACUCUGUCUCCCAGGCUGGAGUGCAGUGGCACGAUCUCAGCUCAAUGCAACCUCUGCCUCCCGGGUUCAAGUGAUUCUCCUGCCUCAGCCCCUGGAGUAGCUGGGAUUACAGAAGAAGAAACCAAAGCUCAGGUUGGGAGAUACCCAAGGACAUUUAGGUGGUAAACUGAAGAAUCAAAAUCUGAACCUGGACUGUCUUCAUCAUCUGAAGCUACCUGAGAGGGAGUUCAGGGUCUCUAAAGUAGAAGCCAGGAUGACUGUUAGCUCCGUAUAGUUCAUCUGCUUCAUAAGAAAGUGAGGAAGUCUGUCUGACGGGGUCUCACUAUGUUGCCCAGGUUGGAGUGAAGUGGCUAUUUACAGGCACGAUCCCGCUACUGAUCAGCAUGAGAGUUUUGACCUGCUCUGUUUCCAACCUGGGCAGGUUCACCCCUCCUUAGGCAACCUGGUGGUCCCCUGCUCCAGGUUGAUGCUGAACUGGAUGCUAAACAUAGGGUGGACACCUGAUCGGCAUAGUGCACAACAGCCCAGAACUCCUGGAUUCAAGCGAUCCUUCAGCCUCAGCCUCCCAAGUAGCUGGGACUACAGGCACGUGCCACUACAUCCCCGGCUGAUCUACCUCUUUCUAACCUGUUAGUGAACAUUUAUUAAGCAUCUACUAUGUGUCUUCUUUUGAUUGACCACACCCGGCCCUUUCCCCACUUCCCCUACUGAGAUGGGUUCCUAAUAGUGCUCUCAGGUCCUGGGCAGGGGUAGAGGCCCAGGAGAAAAGGGAGGUAUGGAGGUGAGAGCCCCCGAUAGCCUGCACAGUGCCCAGAGGCGGCUGCAGCGGUGGCUCUAGAUUUAUAGCUGCCCCAGCACUGAUGUAAUAAAAGCAAACGAUCCUU